AUGUCUCUCGUCUCUCGUGCGUCUUCUGUUUGUGUUGGUCCCAUCUGCGUCGAGGGCAGGGCAGGGCAGGGGAACCAAACCAACGGCGCUUGCACGGAGACGGAGGCAGGAUGUGUUUUCUCUGCAUGCUUUGAUCGAGGAGCCGUCCGUCGGCGUGGGCCCCAUAGCCAUUGCCAACCCCCACCUCCUCACUCACACAGCAAAUCUCUUCUCCCCACAUCUCCAGCUCCUGCAACCUCAAGCUCAAGCCAGGCAGUCUCCAUGGACGCGGUGGAGUCCUCCUCCUCCUCGCCCUACUCGCCGCCCUCGCUGCGCCACAAGCUGCGUACCACCAUCUGCGUCUGCUUCGGCUCCCCCUCCUCACCAGGCAGCGGCGGGGAGAGGCCGCACGCCGGGGGCGGCAGGAGCAGGUGGAGGCGACGCGUGACCGCCACGGAGGAAUUCCGCUAUGACCCGCUCAGCUACGCUCUCAACUUGGACGACGGCAGCAGCGACGACGGUGAUUUGCAAAGGAUAAGCCAGUCAAAAAUAUCGAACCAACCACACACACGCGCGCGAAACGAAUCUCAAGGACUAUCCGCUCGUGCAGUUUGUCACGGGUGGAGCUUUCGCCCGAAGAAAAAUCUUCCUCUACACGUCCUUUUCUUACUGAAAUACAGGGGCGAGCCGCGGUUGCAUUCAAACGAGACUAUACGACCAGCCUCAGCCUCCACCCCUGUUCCGUGUUCACCCCAAGUAGAGUUCGGCCGGUCGUUGUACAUGCACGGUAUAUAUCAUCUCCGCUGUUCCGUAAACCUCCCUCCCACCGGAUUGCAUUGUCAGGUCUCCAACCGCCAACGAGGAUCCAAAAUGAAGGAAAUGGGCAGAGUUGUGUCCUGGACUCCAAGCGCUGCGGGGCCACAGCGAUUACACCCGUGCAAGGUUCACCGGCGACAAGAGGCGAUGGAGGAGUCGACAACAGAAGGGAGGCGCGUCUAUGAUAUGCUUUGGAGUGGCUUCGAAGACGACAUUGAUCGCAAGUUUGAGUAUCAGCGCACAACGACCAUUAGGGAAGUCAGCAAGAUGUUCGAUGGAAGUUCUACUAAAUUGAAUGGACUCUUCGCCAAGCUAGAAGGAGUUCGUGAUGAUUUUAGUGUCGAUAUUGGCGAGAUCCACAUCGAUGGCGAUGUUGAAGCUCGAGGAGAUCCGGCUGGCAUGGGGGCGCCUGCCGCCGCGACCUCGGAGGCUCCCGCCGCUGCCACUGGAUUUGGUAAGGAUCACCAACGGGAGGACCUGCCGCCGGUUGGCUUGAAUCUGUGCAACACUGUUCUCCCAAAGCCACAUGGUCUAAAUCAUGUCAGCCCCUUCUCGGUUGCAAUCAACAUUGGUUACUCUUUCGGAAACCAGCUGACUUGGACACAACAUUUGAACGCUCUCGUUGGCGGCCAGAGAGGUGAUACGGUAGCUGUUGUGCUACCAUGCUACGAUGCCAACUCGACCAUUGGAUCUCACAUCCAACGAUGUGCAUUGGGCGCAUGGAACACGCACGGGAUGUUUCGUGCGUGUUGUGUUGAUCGCCUCCGCGGCCUGCGUCGACGGCAGUGGAACCAAACCCAGGGUGCACGGAGACGGGAGGCUCCGCGGGGUUUUGACCGAGCGCUCACUCGAGCAGAGUCGCCGUCGCCGUCACCGUCACGGGAAUUAAAAUGCCUCGAUCCUCUCCGCCCGUCUGUCAGCGCGGGCCGCACGACAGGAGACCUUUCACCCGGCCGGGAGGUUUGGCAUCCGAUUCGGUCGGCCUUCACAUCCAUCGAUUCGGCCGUGUCAGUGCUUUUUAUCAUGCUCUUUUUCUGUAUGAUGCGAACGCAGUACGUGAAUGGAGCUACGGCGUACGUCCGCGUUGCAGCUAAGCUGCCGCUGUUACCGUUGCUGCCACGGUCAGCUGUCUCUCUCGGCACACACUGUGACAGCUUGCACGAAGACCGACCGUUGCCGUCGCCCUCCUCCCUCCCGUCCCAACGGCUCCGAAGCCCAGAGACGUGCCAAAUCCCGACAACACCCUCACGUCUAACGGCACGCGUGCGCUACGGCGAUAGCAGCUCUGGUUGGUUGCUUCCCCGCGUCUCUUGCCCUUCACGCCGUGGCCGGCUGUCCUUAUCCGUCUUUUUUCUGCCCCUCCUAUUUAGUCCCGCCCAACUCCGCCUUCCUUCUCCAGCAGCAGAGCACACUGUCACAACCCACAUCUAUCUCUAG
rnacentral:rRNA from 1 species